AGCUCCAAUAGCGUAUAUUAAAGUUGUUGCGGUUAAAAGCUCGUAGUUGGAUUUCUGCCGAGGAUGACCGGUCCGCCCUCUGGGUGAGUAUCUGGCUCAGCCUGGGCAUCUUCUUGGGGAACGUAGCUGCACUUGACUGUGUGGUGCGGUAUCCAGGACUUUUACUUUGAGGAAAUUAGAGUGUUUCAAGCAGGCUUACGCCUUGAAUACAUUAGCAUGGAAUAAUAAGAUAGGACCUUGGUUCUAUUUUGUUGGUUUCUAGAGCUGAGGUAAUGAUUAAUAGGGAUAGUUGGGGGCAUUCGUACUGCAUUGUCAGAGGUGAAAUUCUUGGAUUUAUGCAAGACGGACUACUGCGAAAGCAUCUGCCAUGGAUGUUUUCA
rnacentral:rRNA from 1 species